rnacentral:rRNA from 1 species
UACGAAGGGGGCUAGCGUUGCUCGGGUUUACUGGGCGUAAAGCGCACGUAGGCGGGUCGUUAAGUCGGGGGUGAAAUCCCGGAGCUCAACUCCGGAACUGCCUUCGAUACCGGCGAUCUCGAGUCCGGGAGAGGUGAGUGGAAUUCCGAGUGUAGAGGUGAAAUUCGUAGAUAUUCGGGAGAACACCAGUGGCGAAUGCGGCUCACUGGCCCGGUACUGACGCUGAGGUGCGACAGCGUCGGGAGCAAACAGG